AGAAUGAACGCUGGCGGCGUGCCUAACACAUGCAAGUCGUGCGCGAAAGGGACUUCGGUCCCCGGUAGAGCGGCGAACGGGUGAGUAACACGUGGGUAACCUGUCUGAGAGUGGGGGAUAACCUGGGGAAACUCGGGCUAAUACCGCAUACGUCCACCGGGCUUCGGCUCGGUGAGGAAAGGUGGCCUCUGCUUGCAAGCCACCACUCCCAGAGGGGCCCGCGUCUGAUUAGCUAGUUGGCGGGUAACGCCCACCAAGGCGACGAUCAGUAGCCGGCCUAAGAGGGCGAUCGGCCACACUGGAACUGAGACACGGUCCAGACUCCUACGGGAGGCAGCAGUGAGGAAUCUUGCGCAAUGGGGGAAACCCUGACGCAGCAACGCCGCGUGGAGAUGAAGGCCUUCGGGUCGUAAACUCCUGUCAGAGUGGACGAAGGCUUGCGGACGAAUAGUCCGUAAGCUUGACCGGUACAUCGAGAGGAACGCCCCGAUAACCGUCUGUCGCC
rnacentral:rRNA from 1 species